rnacentral:tRNA from 1 species
GCGGAUAAUUAAAUACUGAUCAACACAAAGAAAUACUAUAUUAUUCGGGCUCAUAACCCGAAGGUCGUAGGUUCAAAUCCUACCCCCGCA